rnacentral:rRNA from 1 species
UAUCCUGGCUCAGGAUGAACGCUAGCGGCAGGCUUAACACAUGCAAGUCGAGGGGUAUAGUUCUUCGGAACUAGAGACCGGCGCACGGGUGCGUAACGCGUAUGCAAUCUACCUUUCACAGAGGGAUAGCCCAGAGAAAUUUGGAUUAAUACCUCAUAGUAUAUAGACCUGGCAUCAGGAUUAUAUUAAAGUCACAACGGUGAAAGAUGAGCAUGCGUCCCAUUAGCUUGUUGGUAAGGUAACGGCUUACCAAGGCAACGAUGGGUAGGGGUCCUGAGAGGGAGAUCCCCCACACUGGUACUGAGACACGGACCAGACUCCUACGGGAGGCAGCAGUGAGGAAUAUUGGACAAUGGGCGCAAGCCUGAUCCAGCCAUGCCGCGUGCAGGAUGACGGUCCUAUGGAUUGUAAACUGCUUUAUACGAGAAGAAACACUCCUUCGUGAAGGAGCUUGACGGUAUCGUAAGAAUAAGGAUCGGCUAACUCCGUG